UACGGAGGGUGCGAGCGUUAAUCGGAAUUACUGGGCGUAAAGCGCACGCAGGCGGUUUGUUAAGCUAGAUGUGAAAGCCCCGGGCUCAACCUGGGAUGGUCAUUUAGAACUGGCAGACUAGAGUCUUGGAGAGGGGAGUGGAAUUCCAGGUGUAGCGGUGAAGUGCGUAGAUAUCUGGAGGAACAUCAGUGGCGAAGGCGACUCCCCGGCCAAAGACUGACGCUCAUGUGCGAAAGUGUGGGUAGCGAACAGG
rnacentral:rRNA from 1 species